rnacentral:misc_RNA from 1 species
AUGUGUUCCUCUUGCUGUUUAUGUUUGAUUGAUCCACAUCCUAUGGCGCAUUGGUUUUUGUUUUGUAUAUGUAAUUCUUGUUCAAUUUGUUUCCUAUGAAUUUCUCAAGUGCCAGUCUCAGUAAUUUAUUCUAUUCCUUUCGCAUUGGGUGAAUGGAGUUAAAUAUUUACUGAUGGAUGCUAUGCCAUUUUCUCGGAAAUUAUGAAAUAGUUGAAGGCAGGAAAUGGUUCUAGUGACCUCAAAUAGAUAGAUAUGAAUUGGGGGAACCUUGUUAUUUUUAGUUCCGCUCAUUUUUCUUUCUGUUAAUAGAAGUUUCUCCAGGAGGAACAUAAGCUUUCAUGUUUGUGUUUGGUCUGAUGUUUUUCGCCCAUGCUAUUGUCCGCUAGUUUGAUUCUUUAUUACUAAGUUGUAGGAAUAUUGCCUCUUUUCAGGUUGAGAUUGUUAUGGGACUUGA